rnacentral:lncRNA from 1 species
UCUACGGUCUGUGAAGCUGCUGCCCCUAAGGUGGGGGGUCCCAUUCUACAAAGAGAGAGGUGGCCCCCCUUCCUUGACCUACUCCUCCUUGAGGUUCAAACACCACCUCCCUUCUUCAGGACCUGCACUUCCUAAUGUUUGAGACUCUCCUACAGACCCUCUUAACACAAGGGUUAAUGGGGGAGAUGGCCUCUAAUACCUCUCCUUUCUUUCUUCCCCUUUCUUUACCACCUUUCCCAUUCUGCUUUAGAUUUCUUGAUUGUCAAUCUCUGUCACAUCUGGUGAUUGUUUUGGUUUCUGUUCCCUUUCUAACUGCCCAAGGGGCUCAUAGACCCAAAAAUCCUUUCUUUUCACUACCUUCUUUUUGGGGGG